UACGGGGGGGGCAAGCGUUGUCCGGAAUUAUUGGGCGUAAAGAGCUCGUAGGCGGUUUGUUGCGUCGGCUGUGAAAUCCCGAGGCUCAACCUCGGGUCUGCAGUCGAUACGAGCAAACUAGAGUGUUGCAGGGGAGACUGGAAUUCCUGGUGUAGCGGUGAAAUGCGCAGAUAUCAGGAGGAACACCAAUUGCGAAGGCAGCACUCUGGGGACGUGA
rnacentral:rRNA from 1 species